GAUGAACGCUGGCGGCGUGCCUAAUACAUGCAAGUCGAGCGAACGGACGAGAAGCUUGCUUCUCUGACGUUAGCGGCGGACGGGUGAGUAACACGUGGAUAACCUACCUAUAAGACUGGGAUAACUUCGGGAAACCGGAGCUAAUACCGGAUGAUAUUUUGAACCGCAUGGUUCAAAAGUGAAAGACGGUCUUGCUGUCACUUAUAGAUGGAUCCGCGCUGCAUUAGCUAGUUGGUAAGGUAACGGCUUACCAAGGCAACGAUGCAUAGCCGACCUGAGAGGGUGAUCGGCCACACUGGAACUGAGACACGGUCCAGACUCCUACGGGAGGCAGCAGUAGGGAAUCUUCCGCAAAGGGCGAAAGCCUGACGGAGCAACGCCGCGUGAGUGAUGAAGGUCUUCGGAUCGUAAAACUCUGUUAUUAGGGAAGAACAUAUGUGUAAGUAACUGUGCACAUCUUGACGGUACCUAAUCAGAAAGCCACGGCUAACUACGUG
rnacentral:rRNA from 1 species